rnacentral:tRNA from 1 species
UAGCUCAGUGGUAGAGCAUGUGCUCUGGUACACACACGGUUCUGGGUUCAAACCCAG